rnacentral:rRNA from 1 species
GACUUCGGUCCGCAAGUACAGUGGCAUACGGGUGAGUAACACGUGGGUAACCUGCCCGGAGGUGGGGGACAACUCUUCGAAAGGAGAGCUAAUACCGCAUGACAUCCCGAGAACUUCGGUUCACGGGUUCAAAGUUUGCCUCUGUUUCAUGCAAACGCCACCGGAGAGACCCGCGCCCCAUUAGCUUGAUGGUGAGGUAACGGCUCACCAUGGCUACGAUGGGUAGCCGGCCUGAGAGGGUGAUCGGCCACACUGGAACUGAGACACGGUCCAGACUCCUACGGGAGGCAGCAGUGAGGAAUUUUGCGCAAUGGGCGAAAGCCUGACGCAGCGACGCCGCGUGGAGGAAGAAGGCCUUCGGGUCGUAAACUCCUGUCAAGAGGGACGAAUCCCCAACGGAUGAAUAAGCCGAUGGGUUGACGGUACCUCUGAAGGAAGCCCCGGCUAACUCCGUGCCAGCAGCCGCGGUAAUACGGAGGGGGCAAGCGUUGUUCGGAAUUAUUGGGCGUAAAGGGCACGUAGGCGGUCAAGCAAGUUGGUGGUGAAAGCCCUCGGCUCAACCGGGGAAUUGCCCCCAAAACUGCUUGACUUGAGUCCCGGAGAGGGUGGCGGAAUUCCCAGUGUAGCGGUGAAAUGCGUAGAUAUUGGGAGGAACACCAG